rnacentral:rRNA from 1 species
UACGAAGGGUGCAAGCGUUACUCGGAAUUACUGGGCGUAAAGCGUGCGUAGGUGGUUUGUUAAGUCUGCUGUGAAAGCCCCGGGCUCAACCUGGGAAUGGCAGUGGAUACUGGCAAGCUAGAGUGCGGUAGAGGGGUGUGGAAUUCCCGGUGUAGCAGUGAAAUGCGUAGAGAUCGGGAGGAACACCAGUGGCGAAGGCGGCUACCUGGACCAGCACUGACACUGAAGCACGAAAGCGUGGGGAGCAAACAGG